AAUCUGAAAGUUUUUCCUGUCAAAUGACAGCAUUUGAAAAGGCAUUUAUAAAGUAGAAAUUAUCGGGUUAUUUUCUUUCAAGAGGAAUCUUAAGUAUAUGGCUCACAUAGACUUCUUUCUUAGCUCUAGCUAAUUUAGUCCUGGCAUGGUUCACCUUUCCUGGAAAUCGGAGAAAAGAAGUAUUCUGGCUCCUAUCUCUAGCUCUGGACAAUGGCCUUACUGGAGAACGAAACAGCUGAGUUCUUGAGGGUAAUGUAGACUUUCUCUGUGAAAAGCCCCUGGCACAUAGCUCAUGUGGCAUGAAUUUGGUGAGAACAAGACAUAACCUUUCACCAACACUGGCUUGCUUAUGUCUCUGGCAUUAUAGGCUAUCAACAAAGGUCAGGUAUACCACUGAAGGCUGAGGAUAUGACAAUUAUUUAUUGAGAACCUAUUGUGUAACAAGCACCUAUUUAAUUCCUAGUCACCCAAUAAAGUAUUUUAUUGUUUUGUUUUGCCCUUGGGCAUUUGUUAUUAAGGUAAGAAUUUGAAGUUACUUUUAAUGCAAUAGAUAAAAUACCCUGAAGUUUUAGAACUAAAGUCAAGUAGAUGUUGGACAGUCAGGACAAGGUUCCAAAGUGAGGAGAAUAGAAAGAACUCCUUUUGUUACCAUCAAGUACAGUAAUCGAAAUAAUGAGGAAUAUGCAGUCCAUUCCCUGACUCUAUGGGAUGCAACUUCUACAUUUAUGCAAAAGACAGCACAAGCAGCUUCUACUCAAUAUAUGCUACAAGAAUGGGAAAGAAGAUAUUCUUAGUGAGCCUAGCCUUGAGAGAAACAAAAAAAGGAAAAAAUAUCACAAAGGAUUCUAAAGCUGGACUCAAUGCCUGUCCUCAAAGAACAAACACAAUCUAUGAAGUUAGAAGGUGGCAGAGAAAGUAAGAGUUAAAUGAGCCCAAGAGGUCAGAAAUCCAAAAGACAAAAUGAAGGGACUACUCUGGGCUCUUCAAUAAGUCAGUGUUACAAAAAUAUGUACAUGGUGAACCAUUCUACCCUAAAAGAUACCA
rnacentral:lncRNA from 1 species